rnacentral:tmRNA from 1 species
GGGGCUGACCGGUUUUGACAGCAGUGACAGUGGGAUGGUAAGCAUGCCGGGACUUUGAGUGGAUGGCCCGUUUAAACCAAACGCUCACGCCACAUAAAUGGCAACGAUUAUAAUUACGCAUUGGCCGCUUAAUACCAAGUAUUAACCUGCUGAUUGCCCCCCAGGAAGCCCUGCCCUCCGGCGUCCUGUACCCGGGCAUCAAAAAUGGAUGGAUAAGGUUGUCAAGGUCCUGGUGACAAUUCGAAAACCAAAGGGAAUAAGGUAGCGGUUGGGUGGCUUUUUGCCGGCCGUUCCCCGACAAUCAACUAAGAGCUAAGCAUGUAGAAAGCGAUUUUGCUGACUGUUUGGACCCGGGUUCGACUCCCGGCAGCUCCACAG